UGGGCAACGGGAGAUGGCAUGCCUCCCGUUUCGCGAGCGCCUGCGGCAUUCCCGGAACAAACCACCUCUCGUCCGUCGUUGAGGUUGAUGAUGCCUGCACCACC
rnacentral:ncRNA from 2 species